GCCAGAAAUUUGUAGAUUUUGUUUAUAGUUUGCUGUUUCAUUUACUGUUUCCACGGGACACACUUUUAGAGCAGACACUGCAGCUGCACUGAACUGUUUUAUCUAGUGUGCGCGGAUCACAUGGGCGCGGUUUUCUUGUGGUGUUUGUAAACAGAUAGCACGUGCUGACAAUGUCGACCAAUCGGAUCAUUUGAGAUUACGGAAAUAGCCGAGUUUUUACGAUUGAAUGUCGACAACUUUGAAGGAGAAAACAAGAGGAGGAUACAGAAUCUGAUUUGCCAGAACCAAGUAUAAGGGGAAGAGGCAGAGGAAAAUGAGGAUGCGGUACAGGAGGACAUAUAUGGUAGAGGACGGUACAUCAAUAAAAGAGGGAGGCGUGACUUCCAUGGAAAACAGUUUGAAGAAACUGAAAGAGAGGUGGAGGCCUUCACUGAUCUUCAUUUGGAAUGUAGACAGAAAGCUGAUGAACUUGUAGAUCAACUGUCUGGGGAAGCAGGGUUGGCAAAAAAAUGGUCAAUAUGAAGUUUCUAACUGGUGUGUCUUACAGUAACCACUGCGUCCCCAUGAACACAGCACUGUGAAAUGAGACCUGAUCUAUGCUAAGCCUGCAGCUAGAGAUGAAUCUUGUUACCGUCCACUGUUUGUGCUUCACCUUCAGCGAAGAUUUAGGAAUGACGUUUUUGAUCGUGAUGCCCAAACCCAACAGGAUGUGAACAAAGCCUACAGACAUGUUUAUCUCACCGGAUUUUGGUCGCCUUCAUCGGGAUGCAGGGAUAGACAUUAACUUUAUAGUUACACUUGUCCGAAUGAAAACUUAGUUGUCUGAAAUAUUUUAAACUCUAAUAAGCUCAUCAACCAGGAAUUCUAAUUAUCUCCUUCAGUCAAUAGGUGAAUAACUAAGUUUUCCCUUCUUUAAAAUAAGUUUCCCUGUUUCAAGUUUGUCAUUCUUCCCCAUUGUAAGAAGUUAUGCCUGUGAAUUAUGCCAUACAAGUUGCAUUAUUGUAGUGGAAUGAAAUUGAUGUAAAUAAAUGUCAUUGAAAGUUAUA